rnacentral:pre_miRNA from 1 species
CAACUCUCAUCCUACACCGUUGGAUCGAGAAAUGGACGUCCGAGAUUUGUCCUACACCGUUGGAUCGAGAAAUGGACGUUCGAGAUUGACAAAUCUCGGACGUCCAUUUCUCGAUCCAACGGUGUAGGAUGAGAGUUG